UACGUAGGGUGCGAGCGUUGUCCGGAAUUAUUGGGCGUAAAGAGCUUGUAGGCGGUCUGUCGCGUCUGCUGUGAAAAUCCGGGGCUCAACCCCGGACUUGCAGUGGGUACGGGCAGACUAGAGUGUGGUAGGGGAGACUGGAAUUCCCGGUGUAGCGGUGAAAUGCGCAGAUAUCGGGAGGAACACCGGUGGCGAAGGCGGCUCUCUGGGCCUGUCCUGACGCUCAUGCGCGAAAGCUAGGGGAGCAAACAGG
rnacentral:rRNA from 1 species